CAUGUGGUUUAAUUCGAUACUACGCGCAAAACCUUACCAGCCCUUGACAUAUGAACAACAAAACCUGUCCUUAACAGGAUGGUACUGACUUUCAUACAGGUGCUGCAUGGCUGUCGUCAGCUCGUGUCGUGAGAUGUUUGGUCAAGUCCUAUAACGAGCGAAACCCUCGUUUUGUGUUGCUGAGACAUGCGCCUAAGGAGAAAUUGCCACCGAGUGACGUGCCAGCGCUACUACUUGAUUGAGUGCCAGCACGUAGCUGUGCUUUCAGCAAGAAUUUCACCAUUGGGAGCCGGUGCCUUUCGAAGCACUUUCACGUGUGAACCGAAGUCGUCUUGCCCAAGACCCACGGAGACCUACCUAUAGUGACGUCAAAGUACCAGUGAGCAUGGAGGUUUGGUUGAAAUUGGUUACGACGACGUCGAGUUGGCGGCGGAGGAAGACUCGGCAUGAAGGCCAGAAAAUGGUGUGGAACGUAGUGGUAAUAGUACGCGCCCCGCUCCGAAACAAAGAAAAAGGUGCGUGCCGCACUCACGAGGGACUGCCAGUGAGAUACUGGAGGAAGGUGGGGAUGACGUCAAGUCCGCAUGGCCCUUAUGGGCUGGGCCACACACGUGCUACAAUGGCAAUGACAAUGGGAAGCAAGGCUGUAAGGCGGAGCGAAUCCGGAAAGAUUGCCUCAGUUCGGAUUGUUCUCUGCAACUCGGGAACAUGAAGUUGAAAUCGCUAGUAAUCGCGGAUCAGCAUGCCGCGGUGAAUAUGUACCCGGGCCCUGUACACACCGCCCGUCACACCCUGGGAAUUGGUUUCGCCCGAAGCAUCGGACCAAUGAUCACCCAUGACUUCUGUGUACCACUAGUGCCACAAAGGCCUUUGGUGGUCUUAUUGGCGCAUACCACGGUGGGGUCUUCGACU
rnacentral:rRNA from 1 species